CCUCUGUCCCCCCACGUGCCGACCCCGCUCGGGUCGCCGGAGCAGGGUCCUCACUUGCCUGCAACCCCAGGCUUCCGCGCUUAGACUGGAAAGCGCGAGCCCUGAAGCGGUGAAAGGAACGGGUCUCCUUUCUAGCAUCUUCCAGAACUUACCACGGAGAAUUCCCAUCUUCAUUCCUUGGGUACCUCUACAAGGAUGGAAUUCAUAUACGAGAUAAGCAGACAUUCAAAGGACUCAUCCUUGGAACAGCUCUCUCCCAGUGUUUACUCAACUGCUUAGGGACACAAGUGUAGAAGUUGAAAAGAACGUGAACAUUUCAUGUCAGGCUCGGGGAGAACCAUAGCCCAUAAUUACAUGGAAUAAGUUACAGUCGCUGAGUGAGUUCCAUCCCCGGGACGGGGCUGCAUGGAACCCUGAGGAGGAAAACGGCAGUGAAUGGACACCAGCCGGAACAACCUCCCUCCCCGGCGCGGGCUCUCCUCCUGAGCCAGGCUCACUGCUUCCCGAACUUUCUCCCCCGAGGAUGAGCUCUCUUCCCAGACGGCCCCAGCUCCUUUGAAACUCUAAGAGCUACCCCCAACAUCAGGAGUGCUGGAUACGAUAUAUUAUACCAGGAACAUUUGUGUUUUUUCAUCACUGCCACCUGCUGUUGCCACUCUAUUUUACCACACAAAUUUCUGCUUCUACAUCAGCAACAAGGUGGAAUCUACCUGGUUGACUGAAGACUAUGCACCCUGACUGCUAUUGAAUCAUGCUGUUUUGUCCCAAACAAUUUUACAGAGAGAAAGUCCAUUCAUGUAUAUUAUUCACCUACCAAAGCUUCUGUGUUCAUUGUAUGCAAACCCAAGUGUCCACGGACCACAGAGUGCAGCGUGUGCAAUGUGGAACGAGACGCAGUGUGUGUAUUAGAUAGCAGCUUCUUACAUUGACUGUGACAGUGACAUUAAAUACUAGUGUGGCACUGUGCAUUCACCAUCUGGCAUGCUGGAGUUUACAAAAACAGCCCAGAACAAGAUUUUAAUAGAAGUGGGUAUCCUGGUUGUCUUUCAGAUUCUGUUGCUUAUCAAUCAUCAGAGACUAUU